rnacentral:rRNA from 1 species
GCGUUGUCCGGAUUUAUUGGGCGUAAAGAGCGUGUAGGCGGCUAGGUAGGUCCGUUGUGAAUACUCGAGGCUCAACCUCGGACCGGCGAUGGAAACCAUCUGGCUAGAGUCCGGAAGAGGAGAGUGGAAUUCCUGGUGUAGCGGUGAAAUGCGCAGAUAUCAGGAAGAACACCCGUGGCGCAGGCGGCUCUCUGGUACGUGACUGACGCUGAGACGCGAAAGCGUG